GUACAGUUGUCUAAAUCUAAAAGACCGCCAAAUAUUAUUUUUUAAUUAAAUGACUCUUGACAGGCACUAACACAUAUAGUAUAACAUAAAAUAUGUAUGCAUGUACUCUAUGGGAGGGUAGGAAAAUAUGUUUUAUUUUUUAUGAUAUAAAAAAAAAACUAUCAUCAUUUAUCCUUAUCACAGUCCACCAUGUCUGAGGCUCAAUAUUUCUCAAAUCAGUGUUAUUAUUAAAAAGUUCAACAACUUGUUGGUAACAGUAGGUAAUAGUAAGUAUCAUCGGUAAAAUCAGCCAUUACUAGGUACCUACCUGUUGAAUUGGGUACGUAUAUUCAAUGUACCUAAUUUAGUGAUAUGUUUAAGUGUUUUAUAGUUGGAGUAUUGCAUUCAGUGUUUUGACUUGUCAGUUGUUAAGUUGUUUUAGUCAAUCCAUCACUACAGCUAUGAAUGAACAUGAAAUUGUUCCGGACGUUAUCAGCGUUGCACCCAGUGAAAUAAUAAAAGUAUAUAGUUUUAUGUCAUUAACAAACCCGAGAUUUUAGAAACCCUCAAAACUUAACAAUUAUAUUAUGUUACAUUAGUAUCUACCCAAUUUGAAUUAGCGUUUGUUACUUAUCUUAAUACUAGGUGUUUUUCUCAGGAAUUUUGUAAAACAUUUAAUUCUGUAAAACUACUUACCUUAAGUACAACAAAUUAUUUAAAAUUGAAUUAAUAACCUCGGGGUGUGAGACAUAUGAUGUUACAGGUUUAGCAAACUUGGGACCUCGUUUUCUUACUGGUGGAAAGUCCAGGUGGGUGAUUCCAGUAGGUAAAUGGUAUUAUUUCUGUAAGGUGGAGAAAUUCACUUUUUACAUGUAAUAGGGACAAGUUGUAGUUGACAAUACCAUUCUCCGUGUGUGAAGGAAAUAAAAUACUACCACGGUAUCUCUCUUUGUUGAAAGAGAUGAUACAUGGAAUUGUGUCAGAUUUCAGGUUGACAACUGGUGUAAAAUUCUGUCAAACUGUUAUGAGGAGUUCUAAAUUAGACUUAGGCGGAUUGUCCCAUCUUGGAUAUACUUGUGGACAACAGGUGAGAGGAAGUACCAUGAUGCAUGAUAUUUUCAGAUGA